GGACCCGCACAAGCGGUGGAGUAUGUGGCUUAAUUCGAUGCAACGCGAAGAACCUUACCUAGGCUUGACAUGCUUGUCGUACUCUCCCGAAAAGGAGAGGUCACUUCGGGUGGACAAUGCACAGGUGCUGCAUGGCCGUCGUCAGCUCGUGUCGUGAGAUGUUUGGUUAAGUCCAGCAACGAGCGCAACCCCUGUGAACUGUUGCCAGCGCGUAAAGGCGGGGACUCUGUUCAGACUGCCCAGAUCAACUGGGAGGAAGGUGGGGACGACGUCAGGUCAGUAUGGCCCUUACGCCUAGGGCUGCACACGUACUACAAUGCCCAGCACAAUGAGAACCGAGACCGCAAGGUGGAGGAAAUCUGCAAAACUGGGCCCAGUUCGGAUUGGAGGCUGCAACUCGCCUCCAUGAAGUCGGAAUCGCUAGUAAUCGCAGGUC
rnacentral:rRNA from 1 species